GCCUGGGUGGCUCAGUCAGUUAAGCGUCUGACUUCAGCUCAGGUCAUGAUCUCCUGGUUCAUGGGUUCGAGCCCCAUAUCAGGCU
rfam:Felis catus isolate Cinnamon breed Abyssinian chromosome X, whole genome shotgun sequence.